ensembl:rRNA 5S_rRNA 5S ribosomal RNA
ACCUGCAGCCAUACUACCCUCCAGGAACCAGAUCUCAUCUGAUCUCAGAAGCUAAGCAGGGUCAAACCUUACCCGAAGUAAGAUGGGAGGACAUUGCUUGCC